UACAUGGGGUGCAAACGUUGCUCGGAAUUAUUGGGCGUAAAGCGCACGUAGGCGGUUUGUUAAGUCGGAUGUGAAAUCCCUCGGCUCAACUGAGGAAGUGCAUCCGAAACUGGCAAGCUUGAGUACGAAAGAGGAUCGCGGAAUUCCCGGUGUAGAGGUGAAAUUCGUAGAUAUCGGGAGGAACACCGGUGGCGAAGGCGGCGAUCUGGGUCGAUACUGACGCUGAGGUGCGAAAGCGUGGGGAGCAACCAGG
rnacentral:rRNA from 1 species